rnacentral:rRNA from 2 species
GGGUUGUGAGGUUAAGCGACUAAGCGUACACGGUGGAUGCCCUGGCAGUCAGAGGCGAUGAAGGACGUGCUAAUCUGCGAUAAGCGUCGGUAAGGUGAUAUGAACCGUUAUAACCGGCGAUUUCCGAAUGGGGAAACCCAGUGUGUUUCGACACACUAUCAUUAACUGAAUCCAUAGGUUAAUGAGGCGAACCGGGGGAACUGAAACAUCUAAGUACCCCGAGGAAAAGAAAUCAACCGAGAUUCCCCCAGUAGCGGCGAGCGAACGGGGAGGAGCCCAGAGCCUGAAUCAGUGUGUGUGUUAGUGGAAGCGUCUGGAAAGGCGCGCGAUACAGGGUGACAGCCCCGUACACAAAAAUGCACAUGCUGUGAGCUCGAUGAGUAGGGCGGGACACGUGGUAUCCUGUCUGAAUAUGGGGGGACCAUCCUCCAAGGCUAAAUACUCCUGACUGACCGAUAGUGAACCAGUACCGUGAGGGAAAGGCGAAAAGAACCCCGGCGAGGGGAGUGAAAAAGAACCUGAAACCGUGUACGUACAAGCAGUGGGAGCACGCUUAGGCGUGUGACUGCGUACCUUUUGUAUAAUGGGUCAGCGACUUAUAUUCUGUAGCAAGGUUAACCGAAUAGGGGAGCCGAAGGGAAACCGAGUCUUAACUGGGCGUUAAGUUGCAGGGUAUAGACCCGAAACCCGGUGAUCUAGCCAUGGGCAGGUUGAAGGUUGGGUAACACUAACUGGAGGACCGAACCGACUAAUGUUGAAAAAUUAGCGGAUGACUUGUGGCUGGGGGUGAAAGGCCAAUCAAACCGGGAGAUAGCUGGUUCUCCCCGAAAGCUAUUUAGGUAGCGCCUCGUGAAUUCAUCUCCGGGGGUAGAGCACUGUUUCGGCAAGGGGGUCAUCCCGACUUACCAACCCGAUGCAAACUGCGAAUACCGGAGAAUGUUAUCACGGGAGACACACGGCGGGUGCUAACGUCCGUCGUGAAGAGGGAAACAACCCAGACCGCCAGCUAAGGUCCCAAAGUCAUGGUUAAGUGGGAAACGAUGUGGGAAGGCCCAGACAGCCAGGAUGUUGGCUUAGAAGCAGCCAUCAUUUAAAGAAAGCGUAAUAGCUCACUGGUCGAGUCGGCCUGCGCGGAAGAUGUAACGGGGCUAAACCAUGCACCGAAGCUGCGGCAGCGACGCUUAUGCGUUGUUGGGUAGGGGAGCGUUCUGUAAGCCUGCGAAGGUGUGCUGUGAGGCAUGCUGGAGGUAUCAGAAGUGCGAAUGCUGACAUAAGUAACGAUAAAGCGGGUGAAAAGCCCGCUCGCCGGAAGACCAAGGGUUCCUGUCCAACGUUAAUCGGGGCAGGGUGAGUCGACCCCUAAGGCGAGGCCGAAAGGCGUAGUCGAUGGGAAACAGGUUAAUAUUCCUGUACUUGGUGUUACUGCGAAGGGGGGACGGAGAAGGCUAUGUUGGCCGGGCGACGGUUGUCCCGGUUUAAGCGUGUAGGCUGGUUUUCCAGGCAAAUCCGGAAAAUCAAGGCUGAGGCGUGAUGACGAGGCACUACGGUGCUGAAGCAACAAAUGCCCUGCUUCCAGGAAAAGCCUCUAAGCAUCAGGUAACAUCAAAUCGUACCCCAAACCGACACAGGUGGUCAGGUAGAGAAUACCAAGGCGCUUGAGAGAACUCGGGUGAAGGAACUAGGCAAAAUGGUGCCGUAACUUCGGGAGAAGGCACGCUGAUAUGUAGGUGAAGUCCCUUGCGGAUGGAGCUGAAAUCAGUCGAAGAUACCAGCUGGCUGCAACUGUUUAUUAAAAACACAGCACUGUGCAAACACGAAAGUGGACGUAUACGGUGUGACGCCUGCCCGGUGCCGGAAGGUUAAUUGAUGGGGUCAGCGCAAGCGAAGCUCUUGAUCGAAGCCCCGGUAAACGGCGGCCGUAACUAUAACGGUCCUAAGGUAGCGAAAUUCCUUGUCGGGUAAGUUCCGACCUGCACGAAUGGCGUAAUGAUGGCCAGGCUGUCUCCACCCGAGACUCAGUGAAAUUGAACUCGCUGUGAAGAUGCAGUGUACCCGCGGCAAGACGGAAAGACCCCGUGAACCUUUACUAUAGCUUGACACUGAACAUUGAGCCUUGAUGUGUAGGAUAGGUGGGAGGCUUAGAAGUGUGGACGCCAGUCUGCAUGGAGCCGACCUUGAAAUACCACCCUUUAAUGUUUGAUGUUCUAACGUGGACCCGUAAUCCGGGUUGCGGACAGUGUCUGGUGGGUAGUUUGACUGGGGCGGUCUCCUCCUAAAGAGUAACGGAGGAGCACGAAGGUUGGCUAAUCCUGGUCGGACAUCAGGAGGUUAGUGCAAUGGCAUAAGCCAGCUUGACUGCGAGCGUGACGGCGCGAGCAGGUGCGAAAGCAGGUCAUAGUGAUCCGGUGGUUCUGAAUGGAAGGGCCAUCGCUCAACGGAUAAAAGGUACUCCGGGGAUAACAGGCUGAUACCGCCCAAGAGUUCAUAUCGACGGCGGUGUUUGGCACCUCGAUGUCGGCUCAUCACAUCCUGGGGCUGAAGUAGGUCCCAAGGGUAUGGCUGUUCGCCAUUUAAAGUGGUACGCGAGCUGGGUUUAGAACGUCGUGAGACAGUUCGGUCCCUAUCUGCCGUGGGCGCUGGAGAACUGAGGGGGGCUGCUCCUAGUACGAGAGGACCGGAGUGGACGCAUCACUGGUGUUCGGGUUGUCAUGCCAAUGGCACUGCCCGGUAGCUAAAUGCGGAAGAGAUAAGUGCUGAAAGCAUCUAAGCACGAAACUUGCCCCGAGAUGAGUUCUCCCUGACCCUUUAAGGGUCCUGAAGGAACGUUGAAGACGACGACGUUGAUAGGCCGGGUGUGUAAGCGCAGCGAUGCGUUGAGCUAACCGGUACUAAUGAACCGUGAGGCUUAACCUUACAACGCCGAAG